UACGAAGGGGGCUAGCGUUGCUCGGAAUCACUGGGCGUAAAGCGCACGUAGGCGGCUUCUUAAGUCAGGGGUGAAAUCCGGCAGCUUAACUGUCGCGAGUGCCUUUGAUACUGUGGAGCUAGAGGGAGGUAGGGGUCUGUGGAACUUCCGGUGGAGCGGUGAAAUGCGUUGAUAUCGGAAGGAACGCCGGUGGCGAAAGCGGGUCUCUGGGCCGAUACUGACGCUGAGGAGCGAAAGCGUGGGGAGCGAACAGG
rnacentral:rRNA from 1 species